rnacentral:rRNA from 1 species
GAUGAACGCUGGCGGCGUGCCUAAUACAUGCAAGUCGAGCGAACGGACGAGAAGCUUGCUUCUCUGAUGUUAGCGGCGGACGGGUGAGUAACACGUGGAUAACCUACCUAUAAGACUGGGAUAACUUCGGGAAACCGGAGCUAAUACCGGAUAAUAUUUUGAACCGCAUGGUUCAAAAGUGAAAGACGGUCUUGCUGUCACUUAUAGAUGGAUCCGCGCUGCAUUAGCUAGUUGGUAAGGUAACGGCUUACCAAGGCAACGAUGCAUAGCCGACCUGAGAGGGUGAUCGGCCACACUGGAACUGAGACACGGUCAAGACUCCUACGGGAGGCAGCAGUAGGGAAUAUUCCGCAAUGGGCGAAAGCCUGACGGAGCAACGCCGCGUGAGUGAUGAAGGUCUUCGGAUCGUAAAACUCUGUUAUUAGGGAAGAACAUAUGUGUAAGUAACUGUGCACAUCUUGACGGUACCUAAUCAGAAAGCCACGGCUAACUACGUG